UUUCAAAGGAUAACAAACGAUUGAUUACUGAACCUUUUCGUCGAUGAGUAGCAUCUCCAUGCCGAUGAGCGUCUUCUUCAGUGGGUUCCAAGCCUCCCAGAAAUGGAUGAGCCGAAACCGCAACUGGGCUUCGUGGUGACCCAGGGAGAGAUCCUUGAAGAACACAACUUUUUCAUCGUAGUCGGAGACAAUGGACUUCCCAUGUGGUUUCAUCGCCAUCGAUCGAGUUUCUAGAGUUUUGAUCCGUAAUCGGGGGAAAAAACAUUAUAUAAAGAAAGAGGAAAGGGGGUAGAUGAAACGAAACCAUAAAGUUAGAAUUGAUGGCGAAAUUGAUUGAAGAAACGGAUCGUGAAGAAAAUACACAGACGCUACGGAUUCAGAAGAGAAGAGGAAGAGAAAUGGGGAAGAGAAGAGAGAAUCGCGACUUGGCUUCGUAGAUUUAGGGUUAGGUAUACGCUACGGCUUAACGCGACUCGCGGUGAAGCCUCUCUUUUUAAAUCACAACAUUUGGUAAAUUGGUUUCAGCUUCUAUGUUUUAAAAAUAUUCAAUAAAUGAAACCAUCUUUCAACUUAUUCCACCCCCGUCUUGACAUACAUAUUUCAAGUGCUGCGUAUAAUAGUAUUAAAAAUUGUUAGGUGGUUAAACAAAUUAAAGAAACUGUGAUCUCAAACACUCAUCAACGGCUACUUGCAAAGAAAAACAAAAAACAUUAGAACAUAAUCCAUUUGUCCUGAUGU
rnacentral:lncRNA from 1 species